CCUACGGUGGGCAGCAGUGAGGAAUAUUGGUCAAUGGACGAGAGUCUGAACCAGCCAAGUAGCGUGAAGGAUGACUGCCCUAUGGGUUGUAAACUUCUUUUAUAAAGGAAUAAAACGAGGAACGAGUGCCUUGUUGCAUGUACUUUAUGAAUAAGGAUCGACUAACUCCGGGCCAGCAGCCGCGGUAAUACGGAGGACCCGAGAGUUAUCCGGAUUUAUUGGGUUUAAAGGGAGCGUAGAUGGAUUGUUAAGUCAGGUGUGAAAGUUUGCGGCUCAACCGUAAAAUUGCAGUUGAAACUGGCAGUCUUGAGUACAGUAGAGGUGGGCGGAAUUCGUGGUGUAGCGGUGAAAUGCUUAGAUAUCACGAAGAACUCCGAUUGCGAAGGCAGUUCACUGGACUGCAACUGACACUGAGGCUCGAAAGUGUGGGUAUCAAACAGGAUUAGAUACCCUUGUAGUC
rnacentral:rRNA from 1 species